GCUGAUGCCACUUGGGUUCCCGAGACACCCGCGGCCAUCACUCCUCUCGCCUCAGAGUUUGACAACGCAUCUGAUGUGUCUGCUACCUUCACCACUCCGGUGACCACUGGCACUGCUGCUGCCGGUCCUCAGCGUAGCUCCAUUGUCACUGGCGCCACCACCCACGGCCCAUACGAUGGCGAGGCCCCAACAACCACUGGCGCUGUUCACGCUUCAGUAGUGGACUCGUCCAUUCCAA
rnacentral:misc_RNA from 1 species